UGCCUAUGAUGUGAUUUACUGCACGUAUCAUCAGACAAAGUGAUGAUAUUUUCACCACCUCUGGGGCA
rfam:Populus trichocarpa scaffold_1_contig_547, whole genome shotgun sequence.